rnacentral:lncRNA from 1 species
CGGGCUGGCGCUGAGGGCCUGGGAGGCGAGGCCUAGGCUCGGGGAGGAGGCGGCGGCGGUGGCCCGCUCGGUUCCUGAAGGGCCAGGGCCGACCUAGAGCUUUGGCCAAGCCCCAGGCCUGCAAAUCCCAGAGCCCAGCCAGCUUUGUGUACAGCUGGAAUCUGGAAGAGCAGCAGAGGAAGGGGAACUCUUCUCAUUUUCCAAAACGAUCCAACGAUUGUUCCAGAACCGUUUUUCGAGCGCUGAGCUGCCUUGCGAACUUCUAGAUCGGCUUAAAGACGACGCAAUGUUGGGAUUGCCCAGGAAAUGGGAGCUGGGGCGAAGGAGAAACGCCAGAAGUUAUAUGGACAAAAUUAAUCAGGAAGGCUACCGAAGACAUAAGCAACAUAAUCAGUAAGGGGCCGGCCCAGUGGCUCAGGGGUUAAGUUCCCACGUUCCACUUCUGGCAGCCUGGGGUUCGCCGGUUCGGAUCCUGGGUGUGGACAUGGCACCGCUUGGCAAAAGCCAUGCUGUGGGGAGACGCAAACCCUGGGAGGGUGAGUCAUAGGAAGGAAGAGAAGGGGAGACGGCACAGUGUGAAGAGGUUCAUUGACGUGCUGGCUACCAUUGCACAAGGAGUCACAAAAGGACAAGCACAUUGCUUGCAGGUGUAUUUGCUUGGCUCGUGGGACUUGUUUGGAUGGACUGGAAGGAGAAAUUUUCCUCUGCAUUUUGUUGGAAUGAGGAAAGGGAGGGAAUUAUCUGCCUAGAUCCUGCCCAUCUUUGGUUUUCCAUUGACAAGCUUGCCCUACAAGGAGGUAACUUUCCCAUGCUUCUAAGUCGCUUCAUCUGGUCCGUCAGUGGCGAGUCGGUGCAGAUCCCACAGCUUGGGGUGCAUGAUGUUUGUGUCCACUACAGUCCUCCCUCGCUCCACUGGGCCUAUUGGUCUCCUCCUACUCUGCCUAGCUUCCACGCUAUAUUAUGGGGCCUCCUCUUUUCUUUUUUUCUUUGUUAAUGAGAACAAGCUAGUGUCAUUCCAACCAAUCACAGAUUCCCUUUCAAGGUGGUGGCCAGUGAUCUUCUCUUGGAAGUCUCAAGAUGAGAUGUCCCAGUGAAUCCCCAAGUUCUAGACAACCUCCCCCACCCCCAUUGUAUAGGAGCAACCCUAGCUCCUCAUGGUAAUCAGAAUCUGUUACCUUUUUGUCCACUGGUCCACUGGCAUGAGGAGCUCCGUGACUAUUAGUGGAAAACUUACCAGUGAUACUCAGUAGCCAAGUGAUAAUUAGCAAAAUUUGUGAUGUCCCUGGCUGAAGCAUUCUCUCCUGGGGGAGUCCCCCAGGAACUAUAACUUGGCAGAGUUUUAGGGACAAAAGCACAAUUUCCACAAGUGGGUCACUGGCCCACAUCCAUCUUUUUUCUUCCAGUUUGCCAUCAGGAGCUCCCCAUGAGGCCACAGGUGUGGGUGUAGAGAGGUGAUGGUGCAUCUGUUGAUAUAAUUUGUUCAUGUCUUCUGGACUGGCUUGAGCCUGCUUCUGAAAGUGCCCCCUCCAAUACAUGACAGAUUGCUCCUGUGCAUGCCUGCCCUCUGCCUCUGUUAUGACUCACUGGGUCAGAUGACAGCUCAGGAUGGGGAACUCUGGUUGCAUAGUCACUUGUGUCCAUGAUCCUCUGCUGGAUGUCAGCUAGAGCCUAAUAGCUUGCCAGGAGCUGUUUCACAAGUGCUGGUAAGGGUGCAGACCUGCCCCAUACUCUGGAGGGCUUUGCU